rnacentral:rRNA from 1 species
AGUUUGAUCCUGGCUCAGAUUGAACGCUGGCGCUAUGCCUUACACAUGCAAGUCGAACGGCAGCACGGGUGCUUGCACCUGGUGGCGAGUGGCGAACGGGUGAGUAAUACAUCGGAACAUGUCCUGUAGUGGGGGAUAGCCCGGCGAAAGCCGGAUUAAUACCGCAUACGAUCUACGGAUGAAAGCGGGGGACCUUCGGGCCUCGCGCUAUAGGGUUGGCCGAUGGCUGAUUAGCUAGUUGGUGGGGUAAAGGCCUACCAAGGCGACGAUCAGUAGCUGGUCUGAGAGGACGACCAGCCACACUGGGACUGAGACACGGCCCAUACUCCUACGGGAGGCAGCAGUGGGGAAUUUUGGACAAUGGGCGAAAGCCUGAUCCAGCAAUGCCGCGUGUGUGAAGAAGGCCUUCGGGUUGUAAAGCACUUUUGUCCGGAAAGAAAUCCUUGGCUCUAAUACAGUCGGGGGAUGACGGUACCGGAAGAAUAGGCACCGGCUAACUACGUGCCAGCAGCCGCGGUAAUACGUAGGGUGCGAGCGUUAAUCGGAAUUACUGGGCGUAAAGCGUGCGCAGGCGGUUUGCUAAGACCGAUGUGAAAUCCCCGGGCUCAACCUGGGAACUGCAUUGGUGACUGGCAGGCUAGAGUAUGGCAGAGGGGGGUAGAAUUCCACGUGUAGCAGUGAAAUGCGUAGAGAUGUGGAGGAAUACCGAUGGCGAAGGCAGCCCCCUGGGCCAAUACUGACGCUCAUGCACGAAAGCGUGGGGAGCAAACAGGAUUAGAUACCCUGGUAGUCCACGCCCUAAACGAUGUCAACUAGUUGUUGGGGAUUCAUUUCCUUAGUAACGUAGCUAACGCGUGAAGUUGACCGCCUGGGGAGUACGGUCGCAAGAUUAAAACUCAAAGGAAUUGACGGGGACCCGCACAAGCGGUGGAUGAUGUGGAUUAAUUCGAUGCAACGCGAAAAACCUUACCUACCCUUGACAUGGUCGGAAUCCUGCUGAGAGGUGGGAGUGCUCGAAAGAGAACCGGCGCACAGGUGCUGCAUGGCUGUCGUCAGCUCGUGUCGUGAGAUGUUGGGUUAAGUCCCGCAACGAGCGCAACCCUUGUCCUUAGUUGCUACGCAAGAGCACUCUAAGGAGACUGCCGGUGACAAACCGGAGGAAGGUGGGGAUGACGUCAAGUCCUCAUGGCCCUUAUGGGUAGGGCUUCACACGUCAUACAAUGGUCGGAACAGAGGGUUGCCAACCCGCGAGGGGGAGCUAAUCCCAGAAAACCGAUCGUAGUCCGGAUUGCACUCUGCAACUCGAGUGCAUGAAGCUGGAAUCGCUAGUAAUCGCGGAUCAGCAUGCCGCGGUGAAUACGUUCCCGGGUCUUGUACACACCGCCCGUCACACCAUGGGAGUGGGUUUUACCAGAAGUGGCUAGUCUAACCGCAAGGAGGACGGUCACCACGGUAGGAUUCAUGACUGGGGUGAAGUCGUAACAAGGUA